AGCUCAGUUGUUAGAGAGCUUCACUGGAAAUGGAGAGGUCCCUGGUUCGAUACCAGG
rnacentral:tRNA from 1 species